GUGAAGGCUAUGCGACCUUGAACAAGAUACAAUGCAGCAAAACUGUGGUUGUCCAUCUGAGGGUUUCACUAACUGAUUUGCCAGAUCCAAGAACAAUUCUGGGAGAAAGAAGCUUUCUGAUAGCCUUCAAUGUACUUGCAAGCCAGGAAAAAUGUUCCCAUAGUGUGCUGAGGGCAUCUUCACAUGUUAUGUAGAAG